rnacentral:tRNA from 1 species
GCGGAUGUGGCGGAAUUGGCAGACGCGCAGGCUUCAGGUGCCUGUGGGCCUCGGCCCGUGGAGGUUCGACUCCUCUCAUCCGCA